CUGGGAUUGAAGCUGAAGCUGGGGCUGAGACUGAGGCUGAGGUUGAGCCACAGGCUCAGGUUGGGGCUCAGAUUCUUUUUCUUCUUUUUCCUCAGACUCCUUUUCCAUGUCUAAAGCACUGACAUUCUCUUUCCCAGGAGAAAGGGUUUUACAUUCUUUAUCUGGCUCAAUUUCAAAUUCCAUUUCUGGUUCCAAUUCUUUGCUAGCUUCAUUUUCUGAAGGUUCUACACUUUCAACUCGAUUAGUUUCCAUUACCUCCUGGUCAGCAAUUACAUGUUUGACAUUCUCAACCAUCUCUAGCACAUCCAUAACUUCUUCAGGCUGACUAUCCUGCUGCUUCUCACUUUCCCUUACCUCAGUUUCCUCCUCCAUCUUAACCUCCAUUUCCUGUUUUUGUUCUUCCUCCUCCUGUUCUUUCUCUGCAUCACUAUGAACAAUCGCUAUUUCCUUUUCCUCUUCCUCUCCUGCUUCCUCUAUUUCUACAUCAUUGUGCUGAUUACCUGUCUCCUCCAACUCUUCCUCUCGCUGAGCCACCUUACCCUCUUCUUGUUCCGCCUUCUGUUCUUCAUUACGCACCACCUGAUGCUCUUUUUCCUUC
rnacentral:lncRNA from 1 species